AUCGAGAGAGGGGCUUCGCGCUCCCGGGGGCUUCGGCCCUUACCUCUUCACCCAUUGCUAAUUUACCCUUGUUGCUUUGGCGGAUCGCGGGGUACCCCUCGCGUCGAUCUACCGAUCGGUGAGCGUCCGCCAGAGGCUUAUUAAAUUCUGUUUAUUAGUGACGUCCGAGUUAAAAACAAAUAAUAAAAACUUUCAACAACGGAUCUCUUGGUUCCAGCAUCGAUGAAGAACGCAGCGAAAUGCGAUAAGUAAUGUGAAUUGCAGAAUUCAGUGAAUCAUCGAAUCUUUGAACGCACAUUGCGCCCCCUGGUAUUCCGGGGGGCAUACGUGUUCGAGCGUCAUUGCACCCCUCAAGCGUAGCUUGGUAUUGGGCUCUCGCCCCCGCGGCAUGCCCGAAAAGCAGUGGCGGUCCGGUGCGACUUUAAGCGUAGUAAAUUUCUCCCGUUUUGAAAGUUCGCCCUGUGGCCUGCCAGACAACCCUAUAUACUCCAAUAA
rnacentral:rRNA from 1 species